rnacentral:rRNA from 1 species
GAUUAUGGCUCAGGAUGAACGCUGGCGGCGUGCCUAACACAUGCAAGUCGAACGAAGCAUACGGACUGGAGAUUCGUCGAAGGACCGUAUGACUUAGUGGCGGACGGGUGAGUAAUGUAUGAGCAACCUGCCUUUCAGAGGGGGACAACAGUUGGAAACGACUGCUAAUACCGCGUAACGUAUCGUGAGGGCAUCCUCGUGAUACCAAAGGAGCAAUCCGCUGAAAGAUGGGCUCAUAUCUGAUUAGCUUGUUGGCGGGGUAGCGGCCCACCAAGGCGACGAUCAGUAGCCGGACUGAGAGGUUGAACGGCCACAUUGGGACUGAGAUACGGCCCAGACUCCUACGGGAGGCAGCAGUGGGGAAUAUUGGGCAAUGGGCGAAAGCCUCGACCCAGCAACGCCGCGUGAAGGAAGAAGGUCUUCGGAUUGUAAACUUCUUUUAUGAGGGACGAAGGACGUGACGGUACCUCAUGAAUAAGCCACGGCUAACUACGUGCCAGCAGCCGC